rnacentral:misc_RNA from 1 species
CUGAGUGAGGGCCUUCGGGCUCGACCUCCAACCCUUUGUGAACACCAACUUGUUGCUUCGGGGGCGACCCUGCCGUUUCGACGGCGAGCGCCCCCGGAGACCAUCAAACACUGCAUCUUUGCGUCGGAGUUAAGUAAAUUAAAC